AUUGAACGCUGGCGGCAUGCCUUACACAUGCAAGUCGAACGGUAACGCGGGGAAACCUGGCGACGAGUGGCGAACGGGUGAGUAAUGCAUCGGAACGUGCCCAGUAGUGGGGGAUAGCCCGGCGAAAGCCGGAUUAAUACCGCAUACGACCUACGGGUGAAAGCGGGGGAUCGCAAGACCUCGCGCUAUUGGAGCGGCCGAUGUCAGAUUAGGUAGUUGGUGGGGUAAAGGCCUACCAAGCCUACGAUCUGUAGCUGGUCUGAGAGGGCGACCAGCCACACUGGGACUGAGACACGGCCCAGACUCCUACGGGAGGCAGCAGUGGGGAAUUUUGGACAAUGGGCGCAAGCCUGAUCCAGCCAUGCCGCGUGCGGGAAGAAGGCCUUCGGGUUGUAAACCGCUUUUGUCAGGGAAGAAACGCUCUGGGUUAAUACCCCGGGGUAAUGACGGUACCUGAAGAAUAAGCACCGGCUAACUACGUGCCAGCCGCCGCGGUAAUAC
rnacentral:rRNA from 1 species